CGGGCCGCGGGGAAGGGGAGGGGGGGCUCCCUCGGCGCCCUGCAGACAAUACAGCCGGGUCCCUCCUGCCCAGAACCUGCCCUGGCCAAGAUGGCGGCCGAGAAAGAGCGGAAGUGACGCGGGGCUCUCAUUAGCAUAUGGGACUCAUUGUCCGGCCGGAGAGGAGGGGGACCCUGACUCCCCAGGGGAGUGAGGGAAGGGGGGUGAGUGACUGAACCCCAACUGUGGAACUUGCUUUCCCGUCGUCCCCCACUCCCCUCCUGCCGUGGCAGGAAGCGGGCCCUUUAAAAGGAGGUGGAGGGGAGCGGGUUACAUAACCCCGUUAGAAUGGGGGGAUUCUCGCGAGAAAGGGACCCGGCGGCGGGAUCUGCCCCGGCUCCGCUAGGAGGCGCCGCGCCCUGCGGUUGGGGCCGAAGAGAGGGAUGCGACGCCGCCCGUUUAUCCCUCCGCCGCCCCCGGCCGGCACUACAUCCUUCCCUGAGGGGGGAGGGGGUCACCAUGCCUGGGGGGUGGAGAAGAGCUUGGAGUGAGUUCUUCGCCCACGUGAUCUGAUAGUGAGCACAACACGUGACCCGAGUUUCACCUGGAAAUCCACAGCUCCUACAACGUCCAAUGCUGAAAUAGUUCCAAAAACUAUGGUCCAGAUAAAGAACCUGCAUGGUCAAUAGCUGACAUCUUGACUAAAUUACUAGACAAAGUCCAAUGAAAUGUAGUGGUCCUCCUGAGUUCCAGAUUUACCCAAAUACAAGACGACUCUGAACUUGAGAAGAGACCCUUAAAAAUUAUAGAUUAAAUACAGGUUAUACCCUUAUUUACCCAAAAGAAAGAGGACUCUGAAUUUAUGAUGACCCUGAUUUCUAACAUGAAAGAACUUGGCGGGAAACUGGUCUUGGAUCCAGAAUUCAGGGCAGUAUACAUUUUCACUACAUUUUAUCUUCACAACAACCCUGUGAUAUUGGUUUGAGAGCGACUGAUCCAAGGUAAUCCAAGUGAACUUCAUGGUUGAUUGAGAAUCUGAACACAGAUCUCAGUGAAAAUCCUAAAAGAUAGCUAGCCCAUCACUACUGUCUCCCCCUUUAAUAUGGAAUUCCAGGAGAUCAUUGGAUGCAUUACAUGGCACACUUUCCUCAGAAUCACAGCGCACAAAGGAACUAGAUUGACCUUUCAGACAGCCAGUUCUGCAUCAGGGAGGUCACCUGCCUUGGGACACGAAGAUGGUCUAAAUGAACUAGAUCCCUUCCAACCCUGCUGUGUCAUUGAAUACGGAAAAAAUGCUAUUUAGACAAAAAAGAUAGCAUACUCCUAGCAUACUCCUUUCUUUGGCUGCUGUUGCCACUGUUAUCUCAACUGCAUGUGCCCCUCAAUUAAAUCUUAGAACCGAAUGGAAAUUUUAUUUCCUAAUAUCAUUUUUCAUAAUACAUACACAGAGAUAGAAGACAAAGACUGUAAUCCACAAUUCAUUUACUCUGGAUACAUCUCAGGAAGUAAUUAAGAACUGUGAUCAGAACUAUGGCAUUUGAGGAAAGAGUGUCCUUAAGGCAUUCUACAGUGGGAACAUUGUUCGGUAGCAGACCCAGCCUUGGUACUUCAACAUUUAGCCGAGAAAUAUAUAGGAAAGUCAAAUUCUACAUUUAUACGCUGCGUUCGUAGAUUUUAAAUAUGCAUUUGAUCUAAUCUCAAGGGAAAUACUGUGGGGAAAAUUGGUAAAUCUUCCAUCGAUAGGCAGUUGUUACUCUCAAUAAUUAAGAUGCAUGAAAAUUCAAGAAUAAGGGUGUGUUUUAGUAACAAAGGGCAUCUUACAAAUGAAAUCAGAACAAGUAGGGGAGUCAGGCAGGGGUGUAUUUUGGCCCCAAUGUUAUUCAAUUUCUAUAUUAAUAACUUACUUACUCAGAUGAAUAACAAGGCUUUUCACCCCCCUAAGUUGGCUAAUAGACACUUGAAUAUACUCCUAUAUGCGGUUGACGCAGUGAUUUUAUCACGGACCCCAAUUGGCCUUAAGAGAGCUCUUAAUGCUUUAGUGUCCUACUGUGAUUCACAGGCAGUCACCAUCAAUUAUGAAAAGACUAAGGUGAUGGCUUUUGCCAACAAACCUAAGAAGUGGUGGUGGAUGUUGAAUGGACAUAGACUUGAAAAGGUAUCACAGUUUAAGUAUUUGGGUAUAGUCUUCCAGGCCAAUACUAGGAGGAAUACGCACAAGGAAUAUAUAAUGCAAAAUGCCUCGAGGGCAGCAGCAGCUAUUAACUCCUUUCAUAGGAGGCAAGGUGCACAGUUUGUUCCAGCUGCCCUUAAACUUUUUUCGGCCAAAGUCUGGCCUUUACUCCUUUACGGAGUGCAGCUAGGUAUCUAUUCCAACCUUGCCAGGCUGGAGGCAAUCCAAUCAAAGUUUUUGAGAAGUGUGCUUCAACUACCCCGGGGUGUCCCCAGUGCAUUUCUGUGACUGGAAGUAGGCUGGAUUCGGGUGGAGGCAAGUGUUUGACUGGUAAUAUUUGAAUAUUGGCUGAAGCUGAUUUUUCAGCCAGUAGGACUAGCACCCCUAGUGUUGAGUGAUACAUAUAAGUCUAGGUGGAAAUGUUAUGCGGAGAAGGGGUUGAGUUACUAUGGCUUCUCCAGCGAUAUUUUGGUUGUCUUGGGCUAUGGGAGAGCAAGAUCAUGUCUGCGCCAAUGCAUUAUGGAUAUGAAGAAACAGAUGGACAGAAGCCAGAUAGGGGCUGACACCUAUUUAGGUAAUCAAACAUCACUGUCUGGCCCAGCAAGAUACCUUAACAAAAUAUUAGUACCUAGUUUCCGGAGGGCUCUGACGCUGGCCCAGUGUAAUGCCUUAGAAACGGCUGUCCUGGAGGGGAGAUAUUGCAAGAUCCCCUAUAAGGAGCGUGUCUGCCCUUGUGGUUCUGGGGAAGUGGAGUCAAUGGCCCAUGUUAUCUUGAACUGUCAGUUUUCUCGAACUUUGUGGGAGAGAUAUAUAAGUCCUUUUUUAACAGCAUACCCCAGUUGUUCUGAACAGUUCUAUCUGGAAUUACUUUUGACAGACCAUUGGGAUGUAGUAUCUUACAACGUGGCGAAGUACUGUUUUCUGGCUAAUAAGACUAGGAUAAGAAAUGAUGAGACGUGAAAUAUGGGGUUGGAUUGAAUUAAAUUAUUACAAUGCAUGGAGCCCUCUGUUUUAUGUAAUGGAUGAACUUGGCUGUUAUGGUUCUAUUUUAUGUUUCAACAGUUUAUUAUUUUAUUUGACCAAGUUCAUUUUUAUGUAAAGCUCGCUUUUAUGUAAAGCUUUUGUACUUUGUGUUUUGCUGGUCGAAUGACCGUAACAAUAAAGAUGAUGAUGAGU